CUCGUCCGUCUUUCAGGUGGCGAAAGAGAAAAAAAAAAAAAAAGAGAGAAGAGUUAGGGUUUGAUUUGAUUGAGUUACGGCGGCGACUAACUAGGUUAGGGUAUUGAACAAAUCAGAGUCUUUCUUUUUGACAGUCCCCCGUUUGACUCAUUCAACACGGUCCUCCUAAAGGUUGUAUUGGAACUCAUUCAACACGGUCUUCGUCCCCGAGCUUUAAGUUCUUCGCCCCACACACAACAGACUUUCUUCACAGAAUUAGGGGAGGAGUGAUGCACACUAUAUGCAGGACGCAGCAACAACAAGGAUGGAAUGUAAAAUUUAUAUAUCCUUUUUUUUCUUAAUAUCUGUUAACUUGUGUGUGUGGUAAAAUUAAUCUCAGAACCGUGGACAAGACACUCAUUAUGCCCUCCUGCCCUGUGGAUCAUGCCAAAACCAGUUGGAGAUGUUACAUGUCCUCCAAAAGAUGGUUCACUUUCUUCAUAAAAUUCGGGAUGAUGCACGCUAAAUGACGCAGCAACAACAACGAUGGAGUGGAAAUUUAGUAUCCUUUUUCUUGAUCUCUCUUCUGGAAAUUUAUCAUAGAGCGGUGGAUUCGAGGAGGCUGCUUGCAUAUCAAACUCAGUGGCCAAGGUUGUACAUGAUGAGCUAGUGAAGUUGUGAUGGCUGCUGGAGAAGUAUCUGAGCUACGCUUUGCUAAACCAGGUCUUAAAGCCCUAGAAGACCUUUUCCUAAACAAUUAAACUUGGUGAUAUUAUGUUUUCAUGGAUGUUUGAUGAGAUUCAUGCCUUGAAGCAAUUUAAAGUUGCCGCUGAUCUCUUGGCCAAGAAAGAUGAUUUACCUCCACUAUAUGAUAGUUGCUACGUUUCUCUGACUCUAAAUCUUCAUAUGUUUUCUUUUUCUUAUGGAUCCGACAAUGUUCCAUAUGUUUUGACAUGUCUCUUUCUGGUAGGUGCGUGUUGUGUUGGCCAUGGAAGAUACAUAACACAAGGAGCCAAGUGAAGGGCCCACAGCUGAUGUUUGUUCUGUUUACUGGUGGACUCAGGAAAGAAGCUGCUUGCAGAGCCAAACUCAAAGGCUAAGGCCCGUGAUUAGAGUUCCUUGUACUCAGAGCUGAAGUCAACGGUGCUCUUCUCCAUCGAGACAUGUAUGUAUGAAGCCAGAACUUAGGAGAGAUUGUGUCUGCUACAUGUCGUUUUUCACACCUUCUUGCUUCCUCUACCCGCAAUCCAGCUUCUAUCUUUCUCCUCCACGCUGAGACGAGAGCUAUGGAGUUUGGUGAAACCGAAGAGUGUUGUUGGCCAUGGAGGAUACAUAUAUCAGAUGGACCCAAGUGAAUAGCCCAGAUGUUUCUUCUGUUGACUGAAGUGUGGCUCAUCACUGCUAUGUUGCAGAUUGUACAUGAUGAUGAGCUUGAAAUUGUGAUGGCUAGUGGAUUCGAGGAAGGAGGCUGCGUGCAGAUAGUUAUAAUGCCUUGUAGGCACCGUGGAUCAUCCCAAAACUAGUAGGAGAUGUCACAUGUCCUCCAAAAGAUGGUCCACAACGUUGCAGCAGCUUCCUGCUCUUAUCAAGCUGCAUCUUUCGUGGCCAAUGUUGAUGAGUGGAAAUGGAAGUUAGGCGUUCUGUUGGCCAAUGAUAGCCAACAAGAAAUUGUUUCCAGAGACAAAAGGGAUCGAUGGGAUUAUGAGCAAAUUUCAAAUCUUGCCAAGAGAAUGGGACUGUACAGUGAGAUUUAUGGGAAGUGGUUGUCGCAAGCGAGGUUUCCUCUACCCAAUUACCGGCCAGAUUAGGAUGACAAUCGACCACAACGAGAGGUGGUACUUCCUUUGAGUUAGCAAAGAAGGGUUCCUGCAGAACACCUUGUGUUACUUUCUCUUAGAAGAAGUUGGUAUUUGAUAAUAUUUGAUCUCACUUCACUUCACUUCACUUCUUCUGAUACUUUGGCUCCCAUCAUCUUCUCCAUGGCAACAUUUGAAGAUCCUAACUUGAUUCUCCCUCACAGUGAUCAUUGUUUGAAUUGCUGCAGCAUGGCCAACUUGUUUUCGUAGCAGAUUGGAGCUCAAAAUCGGACGUGGAGUUAUUGAAUAUGAUGUAGCUUCUGGAAAGAUUAUCAUAGAACCGUGGACAACUCUUAUGCCCUUCAGUUGCAGUCCAAAAGAUGUGGAGUAAUUGAAUAUGAUGCAGCUUUAGGAAAGUUUAUCAUAGAACCGUGGAAAAAACUUAUGCCCUCACCUGUGGAUCAUCUCAAAACCAGUUGGAGAUGUUACGUUUGUCCUCCAAAAGGUUGUAUUGUUACAGAAUGAGGGGUGAUGCACACUAUAUGACGCAGCAACAACAACGAUGGAAUGGAAGAUUAAUAUCCUUUUUCUUAAUCUCUAACCGUGGACAAACACACAUAAAACUGUUUCAGCUCCAUUGGUCUCUGUGUGUCGAAAGUAGAUGGAAGUUUGGGUGCUGGUUUAUAUUUUGAUUGUAUUGUCACACGAGGCUUCCUUCAACAUUGGCGAAUCUAUAGAGAAUGGAGAUUUAGAUUCAGGAUGCUAACGCAAAGGCGACAGCAAAUAUCAGUCUGCUAAUUUUGGAUAGAAAGUAAAAUCUUUAUGUCAUCGAAAUUGACUGUCAGGAGACCUCUUAGAUUGAAAGAAGAAUAUGUUGAGGGUUUGGUGUAAUCCCCAACCGUCAUUGAAGAAUCAGUUUCUGAACAGCUAAUGGGCGCAUUGGGUCAAGCUGCCUCAAUGUUGUAGCAGCUUCCUGCUCUUAUACUUUAGCCAGCGGUCUUAGAAAUCCCCCGAUUUCACAGGAUUCGUAAUCUGGUUAAGAGGAUUGGAGCAGCUACUGUAGUCGAAGUCAGAGCCACUGGAAUUCCAUACACAUUUGCUCCUUGCAUCCCAGUUUGUAGAUGGGGUAGGUGUUAUGAGAGCUACAGCCAGGAUCACAAAGUUGUGGAAGACAUGACAGACGUCAUACUUGGUUCACAAAGAGAGCCUCCUUCCAACUAUAAGCAUGGCGUUCCAUUUGUUGGUGGUAGGGAUAAAGUUGCAGUAUGUGCCAAGCAUUACAUGGGAGAUGGUGGGACAACCCCGAGGAAAAAAUGAGAAUAACGCGGUGACUUCUUUACAUGGUCUUCUUAGUGUUCGCAUGUCUGCUUAUGCUGAUGCAGUUUACAAAGGUGUUUCCAUAGUGAUGGUUUCAUAUUCAAGCUGGGAUGGUGAGAAGAUGCAUGCAAAUACUGAGCUUAUCACAGGGAAGCUCAUUGAUUAUCCCCGUUGAUCCCAAGCUGGGGAAAAUGCUGAUAAUGGGUGCCAUCUUCCGCUGCUUUGACCCGAUCCUGACAAUUUGUAUGUAUAAUAAGGACUCAGUGUCAGAGAUCCUUUCCUUCCACCUCAAGACAAAAGAAUGCAAGUACAAGGACUCAUGAUUCAAUUUUUAUGAGUUAUGUUGGAGGAUCGUCUAUAAAGCUCUCCGGUGAUGAAUCCGUUCAGGAUCGUCUCUCGUCGACUCCUACUCUCGAACUCGCCUCUUCUCUUCUCCUCGAUUCCACUAAACGAUGCUUCAGGAUACGAGCUGCUGUUCACAAUGACUAGGGUCAACAUACAAAUCAGAGUCCCCCCGACUCAACACGACGACCUUCCUUUUCUUCGUUCGCUUCAAGUUCCGGUCGACAGACAACAUAAUGGUUCACUUCCUUCACAUAAUUGGGGAUGAUGCACACUAUAUAUGACGCAGCAACAACAACGAUGGAAUGAAAUUAGUAUCCUUUUCUUGAUCUCUCUUCUGGAAAGUUUUUCAUGAAACCGUGGACAACUCACUUAUGCCCUGCCCUGUGGAAAAACCAGUUGGGGAUGUCACAUGUCAAAAGGUGAAACUUUCUGUCUCCAAUCUCCACACACAAAAUGGUUCACUUUCUCUAUAGAAUCCGGAAUGAUGCACUAUAUGACGCUUCAACAACAACGAUGGUAUGGAAAUUAAUAUGGAGUUAUUGAAUAUGCAGCUUCUGGAAAGUUAUCAUAAAACAGCGGACAACAAUUAUCCCCUGUUAAGCCCUGUGGAUCAUCCCAAGACCAGUUGGAGAUGUCACAUGUCCUCC